rnacentral:lncRNA from 1 species
CUUGAACUAAGGAUUAGUUGAGGGUUUUGUGAAAACCUAUGGUAUUUUAGUUACUAAGGUUUUUAAUUGUGUGUUUUAGGUGUUUUGUGAAGUGGUGUUUUUGGCUUGCUCUUGUUGUUGUGGAAUUUGCAGCGGGAGAUUUAGGUGAGUAAAUCUCACCAAGGUUCACUUUUGAACCAAAUUUAAUUAUGGUCAUGUGAUGAUGAUAAUGAUGAUGAUGUUGGAUUUAAUAUUAUUCUUUUAAUUGUUUUAAAAAUAUAUGAGCUUGAUCGCCAACGGCUCAUAGGUAAGAUAAAAAUAAGUCUUCUUUAUAUUGUGAUGUUGACAAUAAUAAUUGUGAUAAUGUGUUGUAAGGAUAAUGUUGUGAAAUUUAUUAUGAUUGUUGGAUAAAUAGCCAAACCGGGUUCCAAGCCCUUUUUGGGUGAUUGGUUGCGGUUAAGAUGUUAUUUAUCAUUUUUGUGUUGAUAUUAGACAGUCAAACCGGGUUCCAAGCCUUUGGCCGGGUGAUUGGUUACGGUUAGGAAUAGAGCUCUAGUCCGUCUGUCAGUGUAGGUCAUGGGAGAUACUGCAUGGUAUGUCACGCCCCAAUUUUCGAAGGAUAAAUUUCAAAAAUUUGGGCAUGAUAUAACUCACAAAUAAGACUACAUGACCUGCUUAACAAAUCCCUACUAAACUUAAAUACUGGAAAUGUAAAUGUCAACAAAACUCAUCGACUGAGUUAAACAUUACAUCUCUUUAUUUACAACUUCAAAAGUCUAGUAAAAAGAAGAUGCUCACACGAGCUUAAAACAACUUACAUAAUAUACAAAUAAAAUGUACAUCAUCUAAACCCCAGCCACUAUGCCUCUGCCUCAACCCUGUUGAUCAACACCUGCAAGUCUAACCCCUACACCAUGAAUUGGUGCACCGGGUUGUAAACAACAAACCCGGUAAGCUAAAAAGCUCGUAUGAGUAAUUCUCAAAAUUUACUCAACAUCUCUAACACCACAUAAGAUAAACUGGUAAUUCCUGCUUUAGAACUUAGUUCAGGAAUCACUUCAAAACAAUAAAAUCAUAAGUGAAUCCUGCAAACAGGAUA